AGCGUGCGGAGCUACCAUGCAGUCGAGCGGUAACAGAGAGUAGCUUGCUACUCUGCUGACGAGCGGCGGACGGGUGAGUAAUGCUUGGGAAUGUACCUUAUGGUGGGGGACAACAGUUGGAAACGACUGCUAAUACCGCAUAAUGUCUUCGGACCAAAGCGGGGGACCUUCGGGCCUCGCGCCAUAAGAUCAGCCCAAGUGGGAUUAGCUAGUUGGUGAGGUAAUGGCUCACCAAGGCGACGAUCCCUAGCUGGUUUGAGAGGAUGAUCAGCCACACUGGGACUGAGACACGGCCCAGACUCCUACGGGAGGCAGCAGUGGGGAAUAUUGCACAAUGGGCGCAAGCCUGAUGCAGCCAUGCCGCGUGUGUGAAGAAGGCCUUCGGGUUGUAAAGCACUUUCAGUAAGGAGGAAAGGUUGGAUGUUAAUAGCAUUCAGCUGUGACGUUACUUACAGAAGAAGCACCGGCUAACUCCGUGCCAGCAGCCGCGGUAAUACGGAGGGUGCGAGCGUUAAUCGGAAUUACUGGGCGUAAAGCGUACGCAGGCGGUUUGUUAAGCGAGAUGUGAAAGCCCCGGGCUCAACCUGGGAACUGCAUUUCGAACUGGCAAACUAGAGUGUGAUAGAGGGUGGUAGAAUUUCAGGUGUAGCGGUGAAAUGCGUAGAGAUCUGAAGGAAUACCGAUGGCGAAGGCAGCCACCUGGGUCAACACUGACGCUCAUGUACGAAAGCGUGGGGAGCAAACAGGAUAGUCCUCC
rnacentral:rRNA from 1 species